rnacentral:rRNA from 1 species
UGGCGCACGGGUGAGUAAUACAUCGGAACGUGUCUUCUAGUGGGGGAUAACUGCCCGAAAGGGCAGCUAAUACCGCAUGAGACCUGAGGGUGAAAGCGGGGGAUCGUAAGACCUCGCGCUGGAAGAGCGGCCGAUGUCCGAUUAGCUAGUUGGUGAGGUAACGGCCCACCAAGGCGACGAUCGGUAGCCGGACUGAGAGGUUGAACGGCUACAUUGGGACUGAGACACGGCCCAG